rnacentral:rRNA from 1 species
CCAGACUCCUACGGGAGGCAGCAGUCGGGAAUAUUGCGCAAUGGAGGAAACUCUGACGCAGUGACGCCGCGUAUAGGAAGAAGGUUUUCGGAUUGUAAACUAUUGUCGUGAGGGAAGAAAUUGACAGUACCUCAGGAGGAAGCUCCGGCUAACUACGUGCCAGCAGCCGCGGUAAUACGUAGGUGGCAAGCGUUAUCCGGAUUUACUGGGUGUAAAGGGCGUGUAGGCGGGGAAGCAAGUCAGAUGUGAAAACCACGGGCUCAACCUGUGGCCUGCAUUUGAAACUGUUUUUCUUGAGUGCUGGAGAGGCAAUCGGAAUUCCGUGUGUAGCGGUGAAAUGCGUAGAUAUACGGAGGAACACCAGUGGCGAAGGCGGAUUGCUGGACAGUAACUGACGCUGAGGCGCGAAAGCGUGGGGAGCAAACAGGAUUAGAUACCCUCGUACU